GACGAACGCUGGCGGCGUGCCUAAUACAUGCAAGUUGAGCGAUGAAGAUUGGUUCUUGCACCAAUUUGAAGAGCAGCGAACGGGUGAGUAACGCGUGGGGAAUCUGCCUUUGAGCGGGGGACAACAUUUGGAAACGAAUGCUAAUACCGCAUAACAACUUUAAACAUAAGUUUUAAGUUUGAAAGAUGCAAUUGCAUCACUCAAAGAUGAUCCCGCGUUGUAUUAGCUAGUUGGUGAGGUAAAGGCUCACCAAGGCGAUGAUACAUAGCCGACCUGAGAGGGUGGUCGGCCACAUUGGGACUGAGACACGGCCCAAACUCCUACGGGAGGCAGCAGUAGGGAAUCUUCGGCAAUGGACGAAAGUCUGACCGAGAAACGCCGCGUGAGUGAAGAAGGUUUUCGGAUCGGAAAACUCUGUUGGUAGAGAAGAAAGUUGGUGAGAGUGGAAAGCUCAUCAAGUGACGGUAACUACCCAGAAAGGGACGGCUAACUACGUG
rnacentral:rRNA from 1 species